GAUGAACGCUGGCGGCGUGCCUAAUACAUGCAAGUCGAGCGAACGGACGAGAAGCUUGCUUCUCUGAUGUUAGCGGCGGACGGGUGAGUAACACGUGGAUAACCUACCUAUAAGACUGGGAUAACUUCGGGAAACCGGAGCUAAUACCGGAUAAUAUGUUGAACCGCAUGGUUCAAAAGUGAAAGACGGUCUUGCUGUCACUUAUAGAUGGAUCCGCGCUGCAUUAGCUAGUUGGUAAGGUAACGGCUUACCAAGGCAACGAUGCAUAGCCGACCUGAGAGGGUGAUCGGCCACACUGGAACUGAGACACGGUCCAGACUCCUACGGGAGGCAGCAGUAGGGAAUAUUCCGCAAUGGGCGAAAGCCUGAUGGAGCAACGCCGCGUGAGUGAUGAAGGUCUUCGGAUCGUAAAACUCUGUUAUUAGGGAAGAACAUAUGUGUAAGUAACUGUGCACAUCUUGACGGUACCUAAACAGAAAGCCACGGCUAACUACGUG
rnacentral:rRNA from 1 species